UGACCUCAGAACAGACAUGGUGACCCACUGAAUUUAAGCAUAUUAGUCAGUGGAGGAAAAGAAACUAACCAGGAUUCCUUCAGUAAUGGCGAGUGAACAGGGAAGAGCCCAGCGCUGAAUCCCUGUCCUGUGAUGGGGCACAGGAAAUGUGGUGUACAGAAGACCCACUCCUCAGUGCCACUCUUGGGGAGCCCAAGUCUUUCUGAUUGAGGCACAGCUUUUGGAUGGUCUGAGGCCAGUAGAGGCCCCCAGAACACCAGGACCAGGUCUUCUCAGAGUCAGGUUGUUUGGGAAUGCAGCUCAAAGAGAGUGGUAAACUCCAUCUAAGGCUAAAUACCAGCACAAGACUGACAGUCUACAAGUACCAUAAGGGAAAGUUGAAAAGAAUAUUGAAGAGAGACUUCAGGAGGGCAUGAAAGCAUCAAGAGGUAAAUGGGUGGGGUCUGCACAGUCUGCCCAGAAGAUUCAACCUGGUGGGUUUGGUCAGCCUGCCCAUGACAACAGAUCUCCCUCCCCCCCCACCCAGGGUGGGGUGGUUGGGGACCACCACCCAGAGAGCCCUGGCCCCUGUCAGGCAUAUUUCCACCAUGGUGGUGCACCAUGACUGGCUCUCAGUUGGCUAGGAAGGUCUGGUGGGCAGGUGGCUUGCCACUUCGCAGUGACAAGUUUUACAGCCCCCAGACAGUAGCUCGCCUUCUGCUAGGGGGUGGCAUGGGGGCCUUCCAGGGGACCGGCCCCCUUGUUCCUGUGCAACUGUCAACCAGAGUGGACAGUCCUCAGUGUAUCCUGACCACAUCAUCCAACUGGGCGGGGAGGGCCAUGCUUGGCACCCGGGGUCUGCGGUGAUGUCAGCCACCCACCCAACCUGUCUUGAAAUAUGGAUCAAGGAGUCUAAGAUGUGCACAUGUCAGAGGCUUGAAUGAAAGCCCUUGGCACAAUGAAGGUGAGGGCUGGCAUGCACUGGCUGAGAUGGGAUCCUGGGGCCACUGUUUGUGGAGGGCGCACCACCGGCCCGUCUUGCCCACCCCAUCAGAAACAUGGAGCAUGAGUGUACGUGCUAGGACCUGAAAGAUGGUAAACUAUGCCUGGGCAGGGCGAAGCCAGAGGAAACUCUGGUGGAGGUCCAUAGUGGUCCUGAUGUACAAUUGGUCAUCCAAUCUGGGUUUAGAGGCAAAAGACUAAUUGAACCAUGUAGCAGCUGGUUCCCUCUGAAGUUUCCCUCAGGAUAGCUGGCAAUCAUAUGUCUCUGCAGUUUUAUCUGUUAAAGCAAAUGAUUAGAGGUCUUGGGUCCAAAAUGAUCUCAACCUAUUCUCAAACUUUAAAUGGGUAAGAAGUCUGUCUCACAGGUGUGAAGCCAGGUGUGGAAUGCAAGUGCCUAGUGGGCCACUUUUGAUGAGCAGAACUGGCACGGUGGGAUGAACUAAACAUUGGGUUAAGGUGCGUGAUGCCAAUGCUCAUCAGACCCCAGAAAAGGUGUUGGUUGAUAUAGACAGCAGAACGGUGGCCAAGGAAGUUGGAAGCUGCUAAGGAGUGUGUAACAACUCACCUGCCAAAUCAAUUAGUCUGAAAAUGGAUGGUGAUGGAGCAUCGGGCCCAUACCCAACCGUCACCAGCAAUGAGAGCUGUGGGGGCUAGGCUGCAACGUGUAGGAGGGCCGCUCUGGUAGUCCUUGAAGCCUAGGGUGCAGGCCCAAGUGGAGCCCCCACAGAUGCAGAUCUUGGUGUAGUAGCAAAUAUUCAAAUGAGAACUUUGAAGGCCAAAGUGGAGAAUGGUUCCAUGUGAACAGAAGUUGAACAUGGGUCAGUCGGUCCUAAGAGGUAAGCAAGUGCCAUUCUGAAGGGACAGGCAAUGGGCUCCAUUGCCCUCAGCUGAUCAUAAGGGAGUUGGGUUCAGAUUCCUGAAUCUGGAGUGGUGGAGACGGGUGCCGUGAGGCAUCCAGUACGGUAACACAGCUGAUCCCGGAGAAGCCGGAGGCCUUCCCCACCCCAAAGAAAUUGCCCACAUAGCAGAGCCUGGUGAGUGUGACCACCUUGAGUAGUGUGAAAGCCAGGAAGGUGCCUGCAGGGAGAAGCAGCUGCAUGGUAGUGUUCUUCCACUCCAGGUGUAGCUGGAGCUGCUCCAGGAGGUCCUGGAACAUGGCCCAGGUCAUCCAGA
rfam:Alligator sinensis unplaced genomic scaffold scaffold332_1, whole genome shotgun sequence